rnacentral:tRNA from 1 species
CAUUAAGAAGCUAGAUAAGCAUUAACCUUUUAAGUUAAAGAUCGGGAGCUUAAAUCUCCCCUUAAUGA